rnacentral:lncRNA from 10 species
UUUUCAAACGCAGCUGGCUCUGAAACUGCUCCAGUGUCUGAAAGUGACGGAUGCGCCUCAUUUCUAUGGCCUGCCGUCCCUUGAGCGGACCUUACGAGGGAUGGCUAACCUCACUGCGUUUCCGGGAUGGAGCUCACACUCUCCUCUCACAAAGCCUCUAGAUAUCUGUGUGAAGUACUUGUCAGGUCUCCUUGAGGUCAUUACUUCUUUUUAUGUGGAGCGUGGAGGAAAUGCUAUGUCCUUCAUGGGAAAAGGUGUUACAAAGAGCACAAUUCUUUGCUUGCUUCACUUAUCCCAUGAGAUGAUGGCCCAGGCUGGGAGCUUGGAGUGGAUGUCACUUUGGUUCUUGCCUUUGGGUAGUCAUAGUGAAGAACAUAUUCCUACUCAACAAGGAUUGGCUUGGUUGAUUCCAUUAUGGGUUGAUCGGGACCCAGAGCCCUGUUUUAGCUUAGGCUGCCAUAACAAAAUACCACAGACUGGGUGGCUUAGACAACAGACACUUCUUUUCUCAUAGAAGUUUUGGAAGCUGAAAGUCCAAGAUCAGAGUGCCGGCAUAGUCAAGUUCUGGUGAG